rnacentral:rRNA from 1 species
CCCUUAGAUGUUCUGGGCCGCACGCGUGCUACACUGAGUGGAUCAGCGGGUCAGGUUGCGCGAAAGUGUUUCCUAAUCUUUAAAUCCGCUCGUGAUGGGGAUUGACGGUUGCAAUUUUCCGUCAUGAACGAGGAAUACCUUGUAAGCGCGGGUCAUCAUCCCGCGCUGAAUACGUCCCUGCCCUUUGUACACACCGCCCGUCGCUCCUACCGAUUGAGUGGUCCGGUGAGGCUUUGGGAUCUGAGCGGAAAGAGCGUUUCGCUGUUUCUGCCCGGAAAACUCAGUCGAACCUUAUCAUUUAGAGGAAGGAGGAGUCGUAACA